rnacentral:rRNA from 1 species
UACGAAGGGAGCUAGCGUUGUUCGGAAUUACUGGGCGUAAAGGGCGCGUAGGCGGGUUUCCAAGUCGGGGGUGAAAUUCCAGGGCUCAACCCUGGGACGGCCUUCGAUACUGGGAGCCUGGAGAUCGGAGAGUGAGUGGAAUUCCGAGUGUAGAGGUGAAAUUCGUAGAUAUUACGGAGGAACACCAGAAGCGAAGGCGGCUCACUGGCCCGAGACUGACGCUGAGGCGCGAAAGCGUGGGAGCAACAGG